GAAGGUUUGUUCGGUGUGAUGCACUAUCUAAUGCCUAAAAGAAACAUUCUCUCCCUGCACUCUAGCAACAAUAUGGGCAAAGAUGGUGAUGUUGCCCUCUUCUUUGGACUAUCAGUACUGUUAUCCAGGUAUAUGGCUAACAAAUUUGACAAGGGCAAGGUAUGAAGUGAGGGAGAAGACAUGCACGAGGAAGAAGAAGAAGAGGCGAAGAGGGUUGAAGGGAAUGGAGAGUAUGGACUCGGAUUCAAAGUGAAGGGGAAUAAGAAGGGACAAUUUCGUUUGUUUUUUUCUCCCUUUUUUCUUUGAUGUAGU